CAAGUUUCUGCGCCGGGAGGACGCGGCCUCGGCCAAUCCCAGGGCUACAGGGCGCUUUUAAAAUGCAGCAGACUGCAGAACAGCAGGUGCCUGGAACCCGACUGCCCGGCUUAGGGAAUCACCACUUUCGCCGGCCCCUGGAGCCCCUCCUGGUCACCUGGCCAGCCCACCUGACCCCAGGUCCCUUGUUUCACCUGCUGAGGUUCCUGGAAGUGCUGUGUUCUCAUGGGGCGUUGUCAUGUGCACAUCUGAUAAGCAAGCCUCCCGGCGACUCCAUGCAGAUGUUGGAUGGAAGUGAACAGAGCUGAAGGCAGAGACCUGUGGCCCAUCUUUAGAGACCCUCGUAUAUCAGAUUGCACUGAUUUACAAGGUGAACUUUGUCCCUGGGUCACACUGUCCAGGGAGUUAUGACUUCCCUCCUAACUGCUCUGCUCUCCAGCCUACAUGUUCCAUUCCACAAAAGGACAGCAUAAAGAGC